ensembl:lncRNA
CGCUGUUAAAGUCUCUCUCUAGGUGUUUUGAUUCUAGGUCGCUGCUGAAGUUAGCUGCUGGUUAAUGUUGAAAACAUUAACAUCCUUCAGUUUUACAAAGUUCAUGGACAUGUUAUGAGUGAUGCAGCGACUACCCAGCUGUAGUUUCCAGCCGUGUAUCUCUGGGACCUUCAGGACGAGAAAAAUCACAGGUGCAGAAGUGGAAGGCGGUGAGCUGCUGCUCCUCAGAUUGAUGUUCUUCAGGUGUUUGACACGUUCAGGAAUCCGGUCAGGAGAACAGCGGCUUUUGUUCCAGAAACAGACGUUUGUUGUUUGGAGAUGAUGCAGAGGGCGUCACGGGUGGGUCAUUCUCAGGGUCAAAGGUCUGCUGCAGACGAACUUGUCACGGUGGCAGAGAGAGGGUGAAUAAGAGGUCUUCUCCCGUGGAUGAUUCUUCUGAGCUGGGUGCCGACAGACGGCUGGUCCUCAGGGUUUUUGUGUGGAUGUGUCUGGCAGAUGUUGUGCUCUUCUGGGGCCGCCGGGUUCUUCCUUCCUCCCGGAUCGUCUGCUGUGACCCGUGACACUCCUCCUAGACCACUGUCACGCGGCCUAAGGAGACAGGCUUGCACUAUGAAUGAG